rnacentral:rRNA from 1 species
GACGAACGCUCGCGGCGUGCUUAACACAUGCAAGUCGAACGGUGAAGCUCCAGCUUGCUGGAGUGGAUCAGUGGCGAACGGGUGAGUAACACGUGAGCAACCUGCCCCUGACUCUGGAAUAAGCGCUGGAAACGGCGUCUAAUACUGGAUACGAGAAGGGUCCGCAUGGGCACUUUCUGGAAAGUUUUUCGGUUGGGGAUGGGCUCGCGGCCUAUCAGCUUGUUGGUGAGGUAAUGGCUCACCAAGGCGACGACGGGUAGCCGGCCUGAGAGGGCGACCGGCCACACUGGGACUGAGACACGGCCCAGACUCCUACGGGAGGCAGCAGUGGGGAAUAUUGCACAAUGGGCGAAAGCCUGAUGCAGCGACGCCGCGUGAGGGAUGACGGCCUUCGGGUUGUAAACCUCUUUCAGCAGGGAAGAAGCGAAAGUGACGGUACCUGCAGAAGAAGCACCGGCUAACUACGUG